rnacentral:rRNA from 1 species
GACGAACGCUGGCGGCGUGCUUAACACAUGCAAGUCGAACGGAAAGGCCUGCUUUCCCUUGUGGAUUGCGGGUACUCGAGUGGCGAACGGGUGAGUAACACGUGAGUGAUCUGCCCCCAACUUGGGUAUAAGCCUGGGAAACUGGGUCUAAUUCCCGAUAGGACUGCAGGGUGGUGCCUGUGGUGGAAAACGAUUUUCUAGUGGUUGGGGAUGAGCUCGCGGCCUAUCAGCUUGUUGGUGGGGUAAUGGCCUACCAAGGCGGCGACGGGUAGCCGGCCUGAGAGGGUGGACGGCCACAUUGGGACUGAGAUACGGCCCAGACUCCGACGGGAGGCAGCAGUGGGGAAUAGUGCACAAUGGGCGGAAGCCUGAUGCAGCGACGCCGCGUGGGGGAUGACGGCCUUCGGGUUGUAAACUCCUUUCGACCGCGAGGAAGCCACCUGGUUGGAAGGGUGGUGACGGUAGUGGUAGAAGAAGCACCGGCUAACUACGUG